rnacentral:lncRNA from 1 species
UCUUAAAGGCUAUCCAUAAUAUAUCCAGAAUAUAUUUUUAAUUAAUAAAAGGCAAAUGAAUCAGAACAUAGAAGGGAUGGGUAGCUAACUACAAAAGAUUCUACAGCAUUGACUUAUUGCUGGGAGUGGCUCCCAGCCAGGACCCCAUUCCUCAGCACCCAUGGACUGUGAUCUAGGGAGGACCAAGUGUCUGGUUCUCACCAAUGGAACAUGAGUGGAUGGGGUGAGUGUCACUUCUGGUCCAGAGGAUUAAGAAGUGGAUGUGACUCCCACAGUCUCUUUUGCCAUCUGCCCAUUGAAUUGAAGAGAGUCACCAUUGAAGAUGUGGAGCUGCCCAGUGAGUGGGUCCAGGAAUCCCUGCUGGGAGGUGAAUCACCCAAACAGGAGCGCCCACAUGGAUGGAGAUACGCACAAGAGGUGUGACAGGGCUGCAGCUGCCCCCAGGCCCGCCCCACCACCAUCUCCUUCCCUCCCAGGGAGCCCAGGCAGCCUCCAUCUCCUUCUUUGCACUGCCCUGUGCUGUCUUGCAGCCACCCUUUCAGCCCUGUGUCCUUCCUGCAGCCCCUACCCUGCUGUCCACUUCUCCGGAAGCCCUCUUCACCCUAGCCUUGGGACCUGCUCACUCCUCCUCCAGCCCUGCACUCCUGCUUGGAGCCCUGGGAUACCAGAGAGGCAGGGAGCCUUGUUUCCGCUCUGGGGGGUGGUGCGAGUCCAGGUUUCUUACCUUCUCUGCCACUGUGUGGCAGGUGCUGAGCGAGCAUCUUGCCACAGAAGCACCUGAGAAUGCUGACCACAGAAAUGGGCUGUAAUAAGUAGAGCUUAGCUCUAACACGAAUUAGGCAGGUGUGUGCUGGCUGCUCCAGAAACUCACUGGCCCAGAGAUUGUUUCAGUGAGAACUUGCAUUCUAGGUUCCCACCCAUCCCUAAAGACAGUCAUGGGUCAGUUCCCCAUUGAGCAGGCACAUGGUGGACCCUCUGCAUUGAGGGAAUUCACGUGGCCUCUGACUCCCCUACUUGGCUUCCUUCCCCUAAGAUCCUCUGUCCCUGCUUGUCCAAGAGGAAUCAUAGUUAUACAAUAAUUAGUAAUAACAAGGACACGUAUUGAGCAUUGAUCUGAUACCAGAAACUCUUCUAUUUUACACUCAAUUCUGAUAACAUCUCUAUCAAGUAGACAUUGCUAUUAUCUCCAUGUUCUCAGAUGGGGGACUGAGGCACAGGGAAGAUAAGUAGUCUGGCCACAUCACACAGCUCUGGAGCCAGGACUCACACCCAAAACAUCUGAAAAUAGAGCCAAGAGCGGGUUGUAUUGCGAGCUUUGGUGGCCCCAGCCUCUGCUCCCUCUUCUGACUUCUCGCACAGGACAUUUCUCACCGUUAAUCUUGGUGAGUGAGACUGUGGGUGAAAUGUCCUGUCACAACAGGACAUCCUGCUUGGCCAGUUGGACUUUCUGGGAAGUGUGGAUUUCCAGUAAGCCAUCUGGGGACUUCAGGCCUUUCCUGGAGAUUUACCUCCACAGCAGAAGGGAUCCUUCAUCAGCAAUUGCUUCAGGGACCCCAGCAGCCCUAGCCCCUCCCUUCCCCAGGAGCUUCUCUUGGGGUUUCUGAGCCUGACCCCAACCCACUUCUUUCCAUCACAUCCUUUUCUUCUGGAAGUGGGCCAGAAUCCAUUUCUGUUGCAUGCAACCAGAUGCAAGCUGAGCUGUGUCUUCAGAAGAGUGGAAAGAAGGGGAGAGCAGGGAGAAAGAGCCUCUCCACCCAGAAGCUGCAGGGAGGCGAGGAGGGCAGAGCCCCGCUCAGCCUGAGUCGCUGACACUAAAGAUGUUCCUGACAUACCAAGGCCCUCCGUCAAGUCUCAGUGAAGAAACGAAAUGAACCGUGCAUGCCUGAAAAGUAAAGAUACUCACACAGCUAUGACAGGUGUUUGUGGUGUGCUCCACAACCUUUCAGGGCUGGAAAUUACACAUUUCUUCUCUUUUUGAGAUCAAAUAAGUUUGGCCCAGCAGCUCUUGGCUUUCCAGGACUACCACAGGCCCCUCUGGGGUUUUCGAAGAACACUGAGGCCUGGCAAUUUGAAGAAGGGUCACUGGUCCCCACUCCUCCAGGCUGCUGUUGCUGGCGUGUCCUGCCCAUGCAGGAGUAGCCCUGGGAAGUGGGUGCCCUUGGGCACGCUACUGAUGUUCCCGCCAAGCCCUCCGGGUGUGCCUCUGUCCCCCUGGGGAGCUGAGUUUGGCUGAGAGCCCCUGAUGCCACCUGCCUCUGCCCCUACCCCAGUUCUGGCAGCAGCUUCCCCCUUCCCUUGGGGCACCUGCUCCUCCUCCCUCCCUGACUUGGGUUUGAAUCUUGAUGAAACAGCUGGCUGACUAGGGACACGUGUGCCUUACCUCCCUUCACCUCAGCUUCCUCCUCUGUAAGAUAAGGACCCUAAUGCCAUGUGGCAGGUUGUGAGAGGAUUAAAUAAGGAAAUGCACUUCAAGUGUUUAGCUUAGAGUCUGGGGCCUAAGAUGUGGUCAGUUAAUGUUAGUUAAAAUGAAACCAAGGAAACCCCAGCUGUGCAGGACAGACAUGAUUAGGAGGGAGCAGGCAUGCCUGCUACGGGCAGGUCAGAGGUGGCUUGGGGUCAGCGAGUCGACUUCCUGGAGGAGGUGGUCCUGGAAGGACAGAUGGGAUUUGAAUGAGGCACAAGGGUGGACAGCUCCAGGACCAGGGGUCAGCCUGGCAUCCCUCACCUGGAAGGAAAUUGCUGGGAAGUCUCUUGAGAGCAGUGACCAUUUCCCAUUCCCGAUAACCGCAUGUGGGGGUCCU